rnacentral:rRNA from 11 species
CAGGGUAGAACCUAUGGAGGUAGAGCACUGAAUGGGCUAGGGUCCUUUUAGGUUACCGAACCCUAUCAAACUCCGAAUGCCAUAUACUUGUAUCCCGGCAGUCAGACUGCGAGUGAUAAGAUCCGUAGUCAAAAGGGAAACAGCCCAGACCACCAGCUAAGGUCCCAAAAUAUAUGUUAAGUGGAAAAGGAUGUGGCGUUGCCC